CACGAUUCAAUCGAUUCAUAGAAACCUAGCCGCCGUCCCACAACUCACAGUUCCUCUUUUCUCUCCCACCAGGCCACCACGAACCCUAGCCGCCGCCCCUCGCUGUGGCGCGAUGUCGUGAGCCGUCAGUCAUGACCACCAGCGCACCGAGGUGCACCGCACGCCCCUGACCAAUGAAGACCGGCGCCCCGAGCUGCCGCCCUUACCGGUGAUGACCAGUCGACCACCAUCUCCGAUCGUCGUGCCCCGUGCGUCGCGCCGCCAAGCCCGACCCCUUGCGUUGCUCCACUCUCUGUGACGCAGCCAUCUGCCAACGGUGCUCCAUCUCCUACGAUAAUUGUAGCUGUUGGCUGCUGCAGUUCGUCACCACCUCUCGUCCUCUUCCAGGCUGGUUGACGGAUUGCCGGUUGCUGUUCUUCCGGUGCUCUACCUAGCAGCUGAAGAUGCUUUCUAUACUGGAAUAUGAACAUGAGGAGUUGAAUGAGAAAGAUGAUGCAUUUAUGAGUGUAGAGGCAGAGGCAGAUGCAGAAGUAGGAGAAGAAUCAGUCUGCAUUGCAUCAUCGAAAAUGAAGAUGCUGAAGCAAAAGUUGCCGAAGGUGCCAAUCCUGAAGCUGCUAUGUUGUCAAGUACUAAGCACUCAUGGUGUUUGCUGCUUCUCGAUUCCGUGGGCUGAUGUUACUUGAUCUUAGUUCUGCUAUCAAAUACUCCCUCCGUUCCUAAAUAUAAGUCUUUGUAGAGAUUGCACUAGGUGGACUACAUACGGAGCAAAAUGAAUGAAUCUAAACUUAAAAUGCAUCUAUAUACAUCUGUAUGUGGUUUAUAGUGAAAUCUCUACAAAGACUUACAUUUAGGAAUGGAGGGAGUAUAAAUGAGUAUGCAUGCAAGUGUUACUUGUUUGAAUUUUUCUUAUGUACACAUGCGCCUCUAUACAAACAUUUGUUGUCUCUAUACACACACCCCUUUGUACA